CCCAGGGGAAGGCUCUGAGGCCUGGAUCACAGCCAUCUCCUUCUAGGACACCCAGCUGCUCUACUCAGCAAGCUGAAAGGCUGGGACCCCAGGAUGGAGCUCUCCUCUCCCACUUUCACCAGCAAGAGAAGAUGCUGCUGCUACUGCUGCUGCCUCAGCACUACACUUGACGAGAGUCUGCACUACGGUCUGUCCAAAGGCUGCAUCCCACAUGGCCGGUGGAACUACGUGCUCUUUAGCACAGGGGUCCAGGACCUCCUUGUCCCCAGUCUGGGAGGGUCCUGAACCCCACGGCCUGGACCCCCUUGGGGGAGGGGGGAAUUAAUUUGGCCUUUUCAAAUUGAAAUAAUAAAUGGAAAGGCAUGGCUUGGACAAUCUCUCCAAAGGCUAAUGCCUCCUUUGCUCUCAUUUAAUAACUGGAGGAGAGACCCUAGCUGCUCCUUCUGGCCCGCAUAUGCAUGGCGCUUAUAGGGAGGCCAA